ACAUGCAAGUCGNGCAGACGGCGUGAGUAAUGCCUAGAAUCUACUGGUAGUGGGGGAUAACGUACUGGAAACGGUACGCUAAUACCGCAUAACGUCUUACGGACCCAAAGUGGGGGACCUUCGGGCCUCACGCCAUCAGAUGAGCCCAGAUGGGAUUAGCUAGUAGGUGGGGUAAUGCCUCACCUAGGCGACGAUCCCUAGCUGGUCUGAGAGGAUGACCAGCCACACUGGAACUGAGACACGUCCAGACUCCUACGGGAGGCAGCAGUGGGGAAUAUUGCACAAUGGGCGCAAGCCUGAUGCAGCCAUGCCGCGUGUGCGAAGGAGGCCUUCGGGUUGUAAAGCACUUUCAGCGAGGAGG
rnacentral:rRNA from 1 species